GUGUGUAGGAUAAUGAGAGACUACUCCAAGUAGACAGAGGACCAAACAAGUGGGGUUAGCUUCAGUAUAGGUAAUAAAGCUAUUGAAGGAAUUGGAUGGAGCUAUCUAUGAGGAGAAGUUAUUGAGAUAGUGACAGUAUCUGACUAUGUAGGCAUUAUGCUAAUUUCACACUUAGUUAAACAGGUCAUGCUGAAAAUGCUAUGAAUUAACCAAAUCUUGAAAGUCGUUUUCAGAGAUUUAGCAAACUUAUUUCAGGUAGGUUAGUCUUGAUGAGGUGACAUUUGAGUUUGAAACAAAGUGUAAAAUCACCAGCUGUAUUUUUGAGGUUCAUUAAAAUCUUAAAUUAACCAUUCUAUUUUGUAUUUGUUAAUUUAGAAAAAAAUCUUUGACAUGAUGCAUUAUUCUGUACUCUAAAAUUCAUUAAAAAUACUUGUCUAUGCAUAUGAGUAUGUUUCAUUAUGCUGAUAUACAAAUAUGGCCAUUUUAUUAUUACAUAAUUUACUCUUAAAUAUUCUUCAUGUUCUUAUUGCCUAUUUAUUUUUUGUCUGUUGAUAUAAGAUUCAAUGUUAUUACAACUUAUACUUUUCAUUAACAAUAAUAAUUAAAUAUCAGUUAUUAUUAAAUUAAAUCUUUUCUGAGUAUAUAGAUAAUUUUAUUUUGGAAGGAAAAUCUUAUACUCCCUCUUACAAAACUGUUUAUUAUGAAUAUUCAUUAUUUGAUCAACACACAUUUUCUUAUCUGCAAAUCAUAAGAGUCCAAAAAUUACUGAUAAAAGAAUGAUACAAUAUUCUGCUGCUAGACAUGAAGCUGUAUGAGAAAUAAAAGGUGGAAUAGUAUCUCUUUGUGAACAGUUCAAAUGUUAAUAAUGGCAAAAGAUACAAAGAUAAAACACUUGAAAUAAAUCACUUGGUUUUAAAGUUAGGUUUCACAAAACAGCUUCUUUUCUUUUUAUUAAGCAUCAUUUGAUAGAUGAAAGAAAUGCUACUUCAAAAUUAAGUUAUAUUCUGUGGAAAAUAGGAAGUUUAGUUAGCCUCUCUGUCUUCAAAUAAAUAUCGUCUCUCAUUUUUAAACUGGCUUUGUUAUCAUUUAGACAUGGUUACAUACAAAGAAAUUAGAAGUAGAUAAAAGAAAAGAACUGUGAGAACUAGUAACUAGAUUGUAGAGAGCUAUUUUUAUCAUUUGCUUAGAGAAUUCUUUGAAAUUUGGCUUUAAUAGCUUGUUCUUGUACAAAGAGAAGCUUUGUUUUUAGAUUGCUUUUGAUGAUUAGAAGAAUUACAUAUUUUAUGACAAUAGGUACAAAUACUUGUUUCUUACUAGUUAUAAUACUUGUUUCACUAGAAUGGUUAAAAAUAGCGCAAAGUGAAAAUACCAUAGCAACCAUAUUGAAAUUCCUUCAUGAAAGUAUUCAUGAAAUUUAGUUUAAAGUUCAGAAGCUUUCACACAUACUAAUAUUGAUUUCCAUCUUUGGAGGGCUUCUAGAAAUAUCAUUUCCUCGUUUCAUGUCUGACUUUUCAUAAGAAAAGAAUAUUUUCUUUAUGGAUUUUUACCUUUCCAUAAUAUGCAAACAGUAAUAAAGAGUAUAUUGCACAUAAUAAAAGUAAUGUCUUUCCUUGUUAUGAUUGAUAGAUUAUUUUACUUUAAGAUAUCGUUCAUAAAUGCAAAAUGACAUUAAAAAUACUAAAAUCUUUACAGUUGAAUUGAAAAUGUAUUAAAAAUUUUUUUGUUCAUUCAUAUUAUGUGAGCAUAUUAAUGCAGCUAUCCUUCCAAAAUAUAAUGGCCAAUACCUUCAUGACAUUCUUAACUCAUAUUUGCUCAAUUUUACAUAUAAUUUUUCAUAUUUAAUGAAUGCUUCUUCACCUUCCCUAGAUGGCUCUCUACUGAUCCCACUCUUUCACUUCUAUGUUUGUCACAUUGUUUAACAAUAAAACAAGUUAUAUAGCUGAAUUUGAGCAUAUUAAGUUUGUGGAAAUUGUUUUGCAUCUUAAAUAUACUUUCAGCAAACAAGGGUAAAGGAUAAGCAUGAUGCAAUCAUGCAAAUAUACUUAAUGCAUGCCAAGAUGGAAACAAAAUAUGAAACAUUGAUGAUAAUAGAGAUGUCUGACUCUUCUCAAAUGAAUAUUUUAUACAGUAACUAGUUAACUAUUUUAAUUCUUUUUAAUGUUGUAUUUGCUAAUAUCUUUGGAAUCAGAUAAGUAUGAAUAAUAUGCAAGAGCCUUUCUCUUUAAUAAUUUGGCCUACAGAAGUCAAUGCUAUUUCAUAUUUCCUUGUGUUCACUCUUCAUUAGUCAAGCAGGGAAAUGAAGUUACUCUGUGCAAUAUUUCUCUAAACUUUAUCUAGCAUAUCUUCAGCAUUAUAUAUAUAUAUAUAUAUAUAUAUAUAUAUAUAUAUAUAUGACAUACACAUAUAUGACAGAAAUAUCAUUGAAACUCAAUAUUAAACUAGAAUUAUUGAUAUGUAUUUAUUGAUUUCUUUUUAGGUAAGUACGAAAUUUGAAGCUUCAGUUAUUUUCUUGAUGCAGGUCAGGUAAGUCAGCUAAAGUCAUUUCCAAACUAUCUGUAUUUAACUAUUGAUACAAUACUUGUUUAUUUUUAAAGUGUUCUGUCAUUAAAAGAGAAAUAGUAGCAGCACUUUUUUCUUCGCUUGAGGAAUAGUAUUGGUUGUGCAUUUAAGUCUUAUUUAUUUAAUUAGUAAGAUAUUAGCUUGUGACAAAAACAUUAAAUUUAGUGUCUGUUUACAAGUAUUUCUGAAGAUAAAGACAUUAAUUUGGAUCUUGUUUGUUGUAUUUUAGAAAGGAAUAAAGAUAUAUAUUAGAUGUAAAGUAAGUACUAUCCUAAGAUUCAUGGGGCCAUCUACCUCAUUUCCAAGGCAUGUAAGUGACUGAUAUCACAACGUUAGCUCUAAAUGGGAUGCCAGUCCAUUGCAGGAUUACUUACUUACAGCUGAGUGGAUUGGGGCAACAUAAAUGAAAUGUUUUGGUCAAGAACACAACACACUGUCUCCUCUGAUGAUAGAAACUAUGAUCUUACAAUCCUAAGUGCAACAUCCUUACAACUAGGCCAUGUGCCUUCAUGUAUUAGUCAUUUUUAAACCAUAAGUGAUUUUGAAAUGACUAAACCAAUUUUUAAUGAAGUUUAAAUAUAAUUUUGCAUGUCACUGUGACUCCAAAAAUGAAGCAUACUAAUGUAGGCAUGGCUCUGUGGUUAAGAGGCUUGCUUUGCAACCAUGUGGCUUCAAGUUCAGUUCUACUGCAUGGGAUUUUGAGUAAAUGUCUUUUGCUAUAGCUCCAGGCCAACCAAUGCUUUGUGAAUGAAUUUGAUUGAUGGAAACCAUGUAAAUAUAUGUUAUACAUACAGAAUUAUGGUUGAAGGAAAAUACCUUAGAGGAGUAUUCUGCAUACUCAAUACAAAUAUGAUAGGUCCUCAUAUACGUAAAUUUAAAAACUUUACUUGACUAAGAUUACUCAUGGAAAUCAAAGUUUUUCUCAACCUACUGUAUUAUUAUUACAUGGGUGAGAUACUAUUGUAUUUGUAAAUAGUACACAGAAUACUUUCUUUACAUAGUUUCCUUCGGGCAUACUGCUGAUAUUCAUAAUCAGCAUCAUUACCCUGCCUCUCCUUCCCACAUUCUCUCUUUCUUCUCUCUCUCUCUCUCUCUCUCUCUCUCUCUCCCUCCCUAUUAGUCUUGCCAGACAAGUAGAUAUGCCUUACUGAGUAGGUCUAAUGAAACUGAAAUAUGUCCUUUGCCUUCCUGCCUGGUUUUAAAGACCAUAUUCACUCCAAUCUUCUUUGUAUUGUUCAAAGAUUUACUGAAAGAUAUUUCUGAUUUAAUGACAGGUUAAAAAAUAUUUUUACAAUAUUAAUAACUUCAAUAUAUUAAUAGACAAUGAAUGAUAUAUUUAAAUUUCAGGAUAAUAAAUAUUAGAAAGACAGCUGAUCUAAUUAAUGGAAAUAUGUAACUUAUUCAUUCUUUCUGUAUUUUCAUUAAUUAUCAUUCUUCUUAACGUAAAACAGCAAGGAAUUAUAUGGAUUUUUUAUGCAUGAUCAUUGUUUAACGUCCGCUUUCCAUGCUAGCAUAACUUUAUUAUUAUUGAAUCAUAUUUAUAAAUUAUUCAUUUUUGCAUUUUAUUGAAUUCUAGAAAUCUAGUUAUUUGUGGCUUGAGGUGGUCAGCAUAAAAGAGAAUUUUAAAUUGACAGUUCUCAAAUUGGGUUGUGGAUAGGAAUGAGAAGAAAAGUUUUGAGUUGAACAAGAAACUAAAAGUGAGAAGAGAAGCUCUAUAAAAACAUAAUUACAAGAAAUGUAUUUGUAAAAGGAAAUUUUUAUGGAAUCUUUCUUUAGAUUUAGAAAGAGGACAGAUAUACUAAAUCUCAGAAUUAGGCUAACCAUAUCUAUCUGCUUGCCUCAGAAAUUUACCCAUUAUGUUAGUUCCUUGAACUAGAUUAGAAUAAUGCUUCUAUAAUUUUCUACAUGAUUAAAGAUGAUUUUGAGAAAAGCUAUUGUGAUAUUUGUGAUUUUAGGUAUCAUCAUUUUGCAUUGCAUCUUUUUCACCAUUUAUAUAACAGUUUUCAUGGUCAGCUGUUCAUAAACGAGGAUUAUUUUUUGUCAUUCAAUGUCAAUAAUUAUAGAAAUAAAAAAAGAAGGGGACCUUCUUCAAAGCUUAAAGAUGAAUAGCCUUUAGUCUGUAAUAUGAAGAUAUCAGUGUAUACUUUUUAUAAAAAGAUUAUUAGUUUUUUUUUAUUUAAAACAAGCAAAUAAUAAUUAAUAAUAGCUAAAGUUUUUCUCCUUUUUUCUGUUUGGAAUAUAAAUUUAUUUUAAUUUGAGGGUUGCAUAAGUAUUAAUAUUAGUGUACUGAUUAUUCAAUUAAAUCUAAGCUUCAUUUUUUUUCUAUUUGAAAUACAAGUUUACUUAGAUUUAUGGUUUUUAAGCUUGAUAUUUACUGUAUUAGAAUCUCAUAACUUGUAAGUUUGCUAGCAGAAUUUUGGCAGAAAGUUAGUCUUUUAUGUUCUUAACUCAAUUCAUUCGCUCAAAUAUGGUUCAGGUUUUUUUUAACAACAACCCAGUAUGCUAUGUUAAGCUGUUAUAUUAUUGUUUGCAUUUUAUAAUUUUAUUUUAUUGACUCUAGAAAUAAAACUUAAAUAAUUCACUGCAGAAUUUCAACACUAAACUUAAUUAGGCCACUUAUUUAUUUGUUUAGUCUAGCAUUAAAUCAUUUCUGUUUUGAAGUCAAUAUUUUGAAAAUAUCAAGAUAUCUAAAACCUCAUAAUAGAUAAAUUGUUCCUUCUUUGUCCAUUAUUAGUAACCAGUUGUAAAGGAGCUAUCAAGAGUGUCUUUGAUAUUAUCUAUUGUUAUUUAGCCCCAGGCCUACUUUGAUAAUGCAAGUGUAUCAUCAAACACAUUCCAGCAUUGAUUAUUCUGUCUUUUCUUAAGAUGCAGUUAGUGUUAUAUGCCCUUCCUCUCUUGAGACAGUAGAACGUGAUUUAAGUAAUAUUCAGCUGGUAUUUCUAAAAUCUUAAUGACACAUAGAAAGCUCACUCAAUGGCUGAUUUUAUUGUCAUUCAACCUUAUAGACUGUUGAACAGGUGGAAAUUUUAUAACACUUAACAAAAUGCUUUAUAACAUUUACUGAUAUCCCUCAUAUCUCACUGAGUUCGUAUCUCUUUUUUAUUUUUCUUGAGAAUCACUAAAAAUUACUUCUAACACCAUUAGUUCUUCUCUCUCCCUCUUUCUCUCUCUCUCUCUCUCUCUCUCUCUUUCUCUCUCUCUCAUAUACACACAUGCAAAGACACAUACACACACACACACCUGGGUAUUGAAAUCACUGAUAAAUAUGAGCAAUUGAGUAAAUGUAUGUACACACACAGAAUUGAAGCACUUGAACAAUCAGAUGUGGUUGUAACAUCUCUAUUAAAUAUAUCAUCCGUGUAAUAUAUAUCAUCAUAGUCAUCAUUUAACGUCCGCUUUCCAUGCUAGCAUGGUUUGGAUGAUUUGACUGAGGACUGGUGAACCAGAUGGCUGCACCAGGCUCCAAUCUUAUCUGGCAUAGUUUCUACAGCUGGAUGCCCUUCCUAACAUCAACCACUCCGAGAGUGUAGUGGGUGCUUUUACAUGCCACCAGCAUGAGGGCCAGUCAGGCAGUACUGGCAAUGGCCACACUCAAGUGGUGUUUUCUACGCACCACUUGCACAGGAGCCAGUCCAGCAGCACUGGCAAUGACUUCGCUCAAAUGUUUUCCAUGUGCCACCGACAGAAGUGCCAGUAAGGCGAUGCUGGUAACAAUCAUGUUUCAAUGGUGCUUUUUACGUACCACUGGCAUGGAAGCCAGUCAGAUGCUUUGGCAGUGAUCACGCUCUGAUGGUGCUUUUAGCACUCCACUAGCAUGGGUGCCAGUCAUCGAAUUAGUGAAUUGGAUUUGAUUUCGAUUUCACUUGCCUCAACAGGUCUUUGCAAGCAGAGUUUAGUGUCCAAUGAAGGAAAGGUACACAUAAGUGGGCUGGCUACACCCCUGGCAUAGGCCACAGGUUAUGGUCUCCAUUGGCUUGUCAGGUCUUCUCACACACAGCAUAUUUCCAAAGGUCUCAGUGAGGCCUAAUGAUCAUAGGUCAUGCUUCACCACUUCAUCCCAGGUCUUCCUGGGUUUACCUCUUCCACAGGUUCCAUCAACCACUAGGGUGUGGCACUUUUUCACACAGCUAUCCUCAUCCAUUCUCGCCACAUGACCAUACCACCACAUCUGAUGCUUCUUAGGUCCAGCUUUUCUCUCAAGGUACUUACACUUUGUCGAGUAUGCACACAUCCAUCGGAGCAUACUGGCUUCAUUCCUUGUGAGCUUACACAUGUCCUCAGCAGUCACAGCCCAUGUUUCACUGCCAUGCAGCAUGGCUGUUCGUACACAUGCGUCAUAUAGUUUACCUUAUACCUUAUAUAUGUAUAUAUGCAUAUAUGUAUAUAUAUAUAUAUAUAUAUAUAUAUAAAAGUAAUUAAGAUUCAAGUGAGUUCUGUUGAAUUCACAUGAAUGAGGUACUUAACUUAGAUGCACCUGAAAUCUAUAUGGUAUUAACCAUAAGAUAAUGCGGGGUGAUUAUAAGCAAGAAAAAAGCAACAAAAAUGGAUCAAUAUUUCGGUACAAUUGUUUCGUACGAAGACCACCUUUAUUAAGGCUGCAAAUAUUGCAGCAAAUACACGUGACCCAUACUCAUCAGCCGAAAAAUCAUCUGAGUUCUCAAAACAUCUAAAGGGGUGAGGCUACACUCAUGAAACAUUCGGGAUAGUUCUAUAAAAAUCAGUUUUGAGAAAUGAUCAGAAAAGCAACCAGCAUACCAUCAUACAUCUGGAAACCCACUUUAUUAUGAACUAAUUAUGGAUAAAUACAUCGUCUGUGAGUAUGAAAUCUCUCCUCAUAUCUCCAGAAUUCAAACAUUCUUCAUUAUUAUGGAUGGAUUUACAUUUUCAAUUUCUGUGAAACUAAGAGGUUUUUUAAAACACUUUUUUAAAGCCUGUUAUUUGACUGUGCAACAUUAAAGAACUUUGGAUGUCCGUUUAUUAUCUAAAUCUGAUUUUUAUAGAACUACCCCGAAUGUUUCAUGAGUGUAGCCUCACCCCCUUAGAUGUUUUGAGAACUCAGAUGUUUUUUCGGCUGAUGAGUACGGGUCACGUGUAUUUGCUGCAAUAUUUGCAGCCUUAAUAAAGGUGGUCUUCGUACGAAACAAUUGUACUGAAAUAUUGAUCCAUUUUUGUUGCUUUUUUCUUGUAUAUAUAUAUAUAUAUAUGUGUGUGUGUGUGUGUGUGUGUGUGCGUGUGUAUGAACAUCCACUUUCCAUACUUGCAUGGAUCAAACAGAUUUUGUAUAGCUGGAUGCCGUUUCUGACACCAACCUUCAUUUACUUUCAAGCAAGGUAAAAUUUCAGCAUGCCCAGACAUCAUUAGGUGGGAUAUUGUAAACAAAGAACAUCUCUUGCAUGACUGUGGCACUUGCUUACAACUAGUACCUGAUGUCAAGGUAUGGGGACAGUAAAACAAGAACACACACACACACACACACAAGCUGGUUGUUGGUAUAAUUAUAAUGGUAUGGUGAUCUCAUGAGCUUGCUGUCUUUAUAUCCAUUGACUUGUGAUCAUCAGUUGUAUUGUAAAAUGCUGAGCAUACAUAUUAAUACAUAUUUGAAAGCAUAAUUUCUUCCUCACUGAAAUUAAUACUACAUGAACAAAUAAAACUGCUCAGGUUUUAUGUACAAAAUAUAUAUACAUGUAUACAUGUAAAUGAAGAGAAAAAAAAGAUUGAACAUUUUCAGACAAUGAAUAUUCAAGUAUAAAUAUAUAUAUAUGUUUAUGAAUUUGUGUUGCAAGAUUCCUGAUGUGAAACUGUGUGAUUAAACAGAUAUUGUUAUAUUCUGGGAGGGUCAUUUUUUUCUUUUUGCCAAAUAAACACAUGCAUUAUACAUUCAUUCUUCACUCAUUUAUUACUGUUCUUAUUUUAUUGUAAGUCCAUUGUUUGGAAAACUUUCGUUGCGUAUUUGUAGCCUCUUCAGUGAUAGUAAUGGUUGCUGAAGUGGUCACAGAUGUGUGAUGUGAGAUUUCCAAACAAAGAGAGAUACACUCAUACAUAAACAUGCAUAUUAUAUAUACAUUGAUGCAUGUGCAUAUGUAUACAUGUGUAUGCACAUGUGUGUUUGUGUGUCUGUAUGAGUGUGCGUGUAUGUGUGUGUGUGUGUGUGUGUGUGUGUGUGUGUGUGUGUGUGUGUCUUUGUCCCCCACCACCACUUGACAACCAGUGGUGGGGUGUUUAUGACCAUGUAAUGUAGUGGUUUGGCAAAAGAUGCCCAAUAGAAUAAGUACUAAGUUUGAAAAAAUAAGUACUGAGGUCAAUUCGUUCAACUAAAAUUCUUCAAGGCGGUCCUCCCACAUGGCCACAGACUAAUAACCAAAACAAGUAAAAGGUAAAAGAAAAAAAUAAAAGAAAAUAUAAUCCCCAGUCUGUGACAGGUGCACAGCAUGCACAGGAUUUGAAGAAACCUACUUGUAUCCAUAUAUUUCUAACUCAUCUACUGAUAUAGAUUGAAUUAGUAGUUAACAGUAAUUUAUGAGUUCUACCAUGAAUGAAACUCUGAAACCAAAUCAGUAUAAUGAUAAAUCUACUGGACUAUUAUCCCUAUGCACAAGUUGUUACACUUUGUUUCAACUUGGACCCACCCACCACCUCCAACUCAUACUUAAACCAUACAUCUUUCUCUCUGACAUACUAAUCUCCAAUUCCUGGCCACACAAUGCAGAUUAACUUUGUUUUUAAGGGCAGUAUCAGUACUUGUACAGAAUCCGCUCUUCCCACUCAUCUCACACACAUGGGUUUUGGCAAGAGUUCUGUAAUUCAUAAUUCAGGCUUUAAAUCUGUCGACCCUAUUCCUUUAAGUUUCUAAUCAAACUCUUCAAAUAACCAUAAGCUAUUUUAUCCUCUCAUUUUCUAAUUUUAACACAUCUUACCUUACUUCUUGCUGAACACAUUAUUCUUUUGAGACUUUGAUAUACACAACCUCUUGUUUUACCUCUAUUCUCACUCAGCGAGCUGGCAGAAAUGUUAGCAAAUGCUUUCGGGUGAAAUGCUUUCAGUAUGCUAUGUUCUGAGUUCAAAUUCUGCCAUGGUCGACUUUGCCUUUCAUUCUUUUGGGGUCAAUAAAUUAAGUACCAGUUGUGUACUGGAGUCAAUCUAAUCAACUAGCCCCCUCCCCCAAAAUUUCGGGCCUUGUGCCUAGAUUAGAAAAGAAAAUAGGCAAAUAAUACUGCCUACAAUUCCUGAAGAAAGUCAUCCACUACUCUCAGUAGUAAUAUCAGAGAAGAAAAUGGUUUAUUUGGGGAUGGCACAAUUUUCAAACUCUACCACCUCCCAGUCAAUCAUCAUCUGCACCAGUUCCACUACUAUCUUAAACAGUUCUCAUUCCCAAGUGAAAAAACUUCAUUGAUCACUCUAACCCAGCAAGGUAAACAAUUGCCAAACUUCAACAAUGCCCACAAGAGCUAACUUUUAUUCUUGCCUAAUUCUAUAAUCUCUAUCAUUCUCUUUACAGUUGACAUGUUUUGGUAUAUCUUAAUUCCAUGAAGAGCAAUUUUGUUGAUCCUGAAAACUACUGACUUAUUCUUACUUUCUGUAUUUCAAAGGUGAUGUCAACAGUUGUUAACAGUAACUUCUUUCAUCACUCUAGGCCUCUCUCUCCUUCUUCAGUGAUUAUCUAUAGAACCUGGUAAUUUGCUCAUGUCAUUCAGCAGUGGUAUGGGAAAAGUUUGGGAAAAAAUAUUGUUAUACUUGAUAUAUGCAAAAUCUCUGAUCGUGUCUGGUAUGUAAGCCUGCUUGCUAUAUUGCUCAUCUCUAGCCUACAGAACUUCAAUAUUAGCACCAAAAACAUCAACCUCACUAACCUAGAAGUCCUGCAAAUGUCACAGACACACUUCACCAUUUCAAAAAAUUUUAAUUAGACCUAACAACAAAGUUCUGUUUGUAUAUAAUUUAUAUGUUGCACAUGAGGGAAGGCAUGUGGUUUAGUGGUUAAUGUGUUGGACUCAUAAUUGUAAGAUUGUAGUUUUAAUUCACAGUCUGAGCAAUGUGUUAUGUGCUUGAGCAGUCCACUUAGCUAGCAAUGGUGAGAAUUUCUGCAAUGGACUGGCAUAUAUGUUCCCAUGGAGAACAUAUAUCCUGCAGAAACUCGAAAAUCAGUCCUAUGGUCUAUAUGAUUUGGGAAGGAACUGUUGCCCAUGUAUUAGUACAUCAAAAACUAAAUAUUAUGUUUCUUUUUAAUUUUCCAACUUUAAAAUUAUGAAUUUGUCUUCUCUCUUUGCAACUGUGUUUGUGUAUGUCAACAUAAGGCUGUAUUAAGUAAUAUAGAAGAAAAAAAUUCUUCAUUGAAAUUAUCUCUACUUGUAGAGAGAAUGGAGCAAUCACUUGGUAACAAUGAGCACCAGUUCCAAAUAUCACCAAAUGAGUGGUCUACCUUCUCUAGAAGUAGAUAUAAUUUCAGUAACUCAAGAAUUUAUGUUGUAUUAAGAUCAAAUAUACCCAUAUUUGUCUGUUGAUCAAACAUAUGUCACUGACCACUCUGAGUUAUUUCUCUUAGCUCAUUUUCAUUUUAUUUAUGCAAAUUACCUAGGCCAUAAAUGUGAUCCUCUGCUUUUGAGAUAAGGUAGAAUAAAUGCUGUGCUGACAACACUUACUGAGGCUGUCCUCUUAUCUGAUUGUUAAAUUACACAGUUUUUCCCUUAAUGCUAUGUCUAUUUUAGAGAAUUCCUGAUUCUUGGUGUUAUAUCACCUUCUCAUUUAAAAUUGGUACUAAUUGCCACCAAGUGAUACAUCUACCUUUCAUUGAAGGAGAGACAAUUUCAAUAGAUUUAGAUUUUUAUUUUGUGUGUUAUUUAAGAUACUCUUAUUUGUUUUAUAUAUAAACACAUAUAUACAUACAAAUGUGUGUGUGUAUAUAUAUAUAUCACGGAUACUCCCACUGUAAGACUACAUAUGAGGGUUCUGCAAUUUCUUGCUGAACAACUACACAGAUGUUUAUAGUGAUCAAAUGUAUUUUUACUCACAUAAGCUCACUCCCCACCUCCAUCAAAUUGACAUUACCUGCACAGGUGCAUCACAUGCCACAAGUCAAAUGAUGAAUUGAUCGCAGAGCAACAUGAAAUGAAAUGUUUUGCUCAAGAACACAAUGUAACACCCAGUCUGGUAAUCAAAAUCAUGAUUUUGCAAUUGUGAGUGCAACACCCUAACCACUAAGUCAUGCACCUUCACACAUUCUAUUUAUAUAUAUAAGAAGGUAAGAUGAAAGAAAAUAGAAAGCUUCUGACAAUGUGGAAAGUUUAAUAAAACCUUACAAAGGUUUAAUUAAACUUUCCACUUUGUCAGACGCUUUCAAUUUUCUCUCUUUUUACCUUCUUCUGUACUACAAUACUUCAAGCAAACUACAACGCUCUUAUGUAUAUAUAUGUGUGUGUGUGUGUGUGUAAUAGUAAUAUGUGACAAUUAUUCGGUAGCCAUGAUAAAACUCCGAGUUUCGGAUGCCGAGGUGGAAAUCCACGUUGCUAUCUCUUCAGUUAUCUGGCCAUCGGAAAAAAUGUAAAGGCAUUUUUCCCGAUGGCCGGAUAACUGAAGAGGUGGUGGCAAGUUGUAGUGCACCUGAGCACUGUAUACGAUAAUUUCAUUAUAUUAUAUUAUAUAUUAUUACUUUUACAGAUAAGUUCCUCUAUUUGCAUAAUAUCGAGGUCUCUUUCAUUCUUUUGUUGCCUUACCACUCUUAUCAAUAUAUAUAUAUAUAUAUAUGUAUAUUAAUUCUUUAAUUUAUCCUUAAUUUAUUUUUAAACCUUAACCCUAUAAAUCCCCUACUAUAAACACCCUAACUCUAUCUCCCACUCAUAAAUAAUUUAAUAUUCAACUAGCUCUUCCUGUCUUAGCUACUACCACCCAGAACUCCAUUGCUAAAAAUAACUCUACAGCCACUGGCCUUAGCCAGGACGGGCACAAGCAAUUACUACCAAAUUUCCUCCCCAGUAACUUUAGACCUCUACUACUCUCAUUAAAUUCUGUUCAUUUUGCUCUAUUUUUUUACCCUAUCUUUCUCUACCUCCUCCUCCUCUCUUAUCUUCUUGGUUACCCCAUACACAAUUCUUAGACACCAUACACCUAUGCACCUUACUUUAUCCUAUAGCCAAUCCUUAAUAUCCCCCUACCUCACUCUAUCUACCUAUCUUUCUAUUUUUUUUCUUUACUUUUACCAAUUAGUAGCCAUCUCCACUACCAUUCUGUUAUUGAACGUUGAUAUGCUUGUGUCCUUUUUUUGGGAUGACUACUAUAUCAGGAUUUUAACCCACAUGGAUAUACACAAGAUUGCACCUAAGGACUUACACUCUUGGAUCUACACAGAGUUCCACCUAAAGACUUGUGCUCUGGUUUCUAUAACUUCUGAAAGUUGAACUAUGAACUUUUAUGCUUCUUUUUCUUCUUCCCAUCUCCUUAUUCUUUUACUCCCUUCCUCAAAGUUGUCAUCCUAUUACUAUAUACCAUUCUCAUUUUCCAUAGUCUUUUCCCCUAUUUGUCUCUGAUGACAGAAUAUCUCAUACUCGGGAAACAGCUGUAUGAUUUUGAAUUUCUUCCUAUAAUAAUAUUAUAUAUGACUUGAGAUGUUUGCCUUGCCUUAAUGUUUGCUGUCCUGUUUAACAAUUAUAUAUGUGUGUGUGUGUGUGUGUGUGUGUGUGUGUAUGUAUAUAUAUAGUCAAUACAAAGAAAACAAAUAAAUAAUGGAAAAGACAAAGAAAAAUGAAUGUGAGGACGGGCACAAGCAAUAUAUUAAUUUGACGCUCAGUGAAAAGAGAGAGUUGUUAACAUUUCGAGCAUAGCUCUUCGUAGGAAAGAGAAAAGUCCAAAGAGAAAGAAGGAAAAAUAAGGAAAAAUUGCCACCAAUACACAUAUAUGAUGUCUAUGUUUAACAUCCACUUUUCCUGCUUGCAUGAGUCAAACAGAAUUUGAAAGGGCAGAUUUUCUGCAGCUGUAUGACCUUCUUACUGCCAACUUUCACUACUUUCCAAGCAAGGUAAUAUUUUCCCAUAGCUAGUCAUGUUAUUCACUGAGGACUGGAAAAGAACAACCUUGCCUGUAUUAUGAUGAUGCUCAUUUAUAACCAUCAUAUGAUGUACACACAUAUAAUAAGUAAAUAAAAAACGUAAACAAAAGAAAUUAAAUAUAUGAACUCUAUGCAUCUUUUACACACAAUGCACCCCUUGGGACCAUUGGAUCCUAUCAAACCAUCCAACCUAUGCCUACAUGAACAUGAUAAGAUGAUACAUGUAUCUGUUAUUCUCUCUCCCUCUUUCUAUCUCUCUUAUACAUCCAUUCAAAGAGACAUUACACACACACACACACACACACAUACACACACAAAACAAUGAAAAUUAAUUCUGAGACUGCAUCUGGAUGGAAUUAUUUAAAUUGUUCCAUACAAAUAGUUUAAACAGAAGGGGAGUGUAAUCCAAUAAUGUUUUAUCAGCUAUUAUCUUCAUUAUUCAAUAAUUUAUGAACAAAAGUAAUAAUUAAAUAAAAGCAAUGAAUAGGUAAAUAGGCGUAAUCAAUCAAUAAAUAAACAAGAAUAACUAAUAAAUAAAUAAUAGAUUUCUGAAUAAAACCAGUUUCGAACUGUGUCAAUAUAGGUAUUUUUAUUUAUUUAUUUAUUCCUAUGUAAAUAACAUGCUAUUCCAGUUUUGGUACUUUAUUGAGCUAGGAUGGAAUCCAGAUGUCAUGUACAUUACCUUUAUUAUUUAGGUGAUCAAUAAAAUAAGGAAUAGCGCUAGCAUUCAAUAAUUCAAGCAUCUAUAAUCCUUCCUUGACAAUAGAUAAAAUACUACAUUAAGACCAAGCCUGAAUUUAAAAAAAAAAAAAGUUCCUCAUAUAUGAUUUAACAGGAGUUACUUCCCUUGUAUGAUAUUACGGAUUCAGUUUGCGGAAUACAUGGGAAAAAGUAAUUGUCAUAUAAUUUAAAGCAAUUUAUAUAAGCAUGUGCAUGCCAAACUUGCAAAGCAGACGAACUAUGUGCUACAGGCGUCCCCUCUUGAUUCACUGUGCAAUGAGUUGUAAAUCUGAGAAUAAAAUGUGUUUGUGUGCGUGUACAUAAAAACAUGCUUACGUACAUCCUACAUUGUUUGCUUGUAUUUAAUGAAUGGAAAGAUUUUUCAUUAUAAAGUAUAAAAUUAUAACAUUAUAGAUAUCAUUUACUUGUUUCAGUCAUUUGACCGUGGCCAUGUUGGGGCACCGCCUUCCAGGGUUUAGUCGGGAAAAAAUUCGACCCCAGUAGUUAUUGAUUGUUUUUUAGAGUUUUGCUUAUUCUAUCGUUCGCUUUUUGUCAAAGAGCUCAGUUAUUUGGAUGCAAACAAACCACCACUGGUUGUGUGUGUAUGUGUGUGUUUGUCGCCCACCAACGCUUGACAACCAUUCAGCAUUACGUGUCAAAAUUGAAACAAUAACAUCUCUGAAUUGUAA
rnacentral:lncRNA from 1 species